CGUCAUUGCAAUCUAUACUUUCGUACAAUGAAGUUGGCUUUUAUCUCGUUAUUAUUCUUUGUUGGGGUUUCUUUAAGUUCAACCUGCAAACUUAAACCAAUAUAUAUGGGAUUGUGUGCAAUGAUGGAUUGGGGUUUUACCUAUAAUCGUGCUAGUAACACUUGUGUUCCCACUGCGGGAAUGUGUCGUGGCACUGGAAAUUUCUUUAGAUCUAAAAAGGAUUGUGAGGAACAAUGUAUUGAUUAAACUAAGUUUGCAUCAAU